rnacentral:rRNA from 1 species
AUUGAACGCUGGCGGCAGGCCUAACACAUGCAAGUCGAACGAGUGGCGGACGGGUGAGUAAUGUCUGGGAAAAUGCCCGAUGGAGGGGGAUAACUACUGGAAACGGUAGCUAAUACCGCAUACCAUCGGAUGUGCCCAGAUGGGAUGAGCUUGUAGGUGAGGUAACGGCUCACCUAUGCGACGAUCCCUAGCUGGUCUGAGAGGAUGGUCAGUCACACUGGAACUGAGACACGGUCCAGAAUCCUACGGGAGGCAGCAGUGGGGAAUAUUGGACAAUGGGGGCAAUCCUGAUGCAGACAUGCCGCGUGUAGGAAGAAGGACUUCGGGUUGUAAAGUACUUUCAGCUGGGAGGCGUUACCCGCAGAAGAAGCAAAGACUAACUCCGUGCCAGAAGCCGCGGUAAUAC